rnacentral:rRNA from 1 species
UUUGAUCCUGGCUCAGAAUGAACGCUGGCGGCAUGGAUUAGGCAUGCAAGUCGAACGGGUUCCCUCGGGAACUAGUGGCGUAAGGGUGAGUAACACGUGAGUAACCUGCCCCUGAAUCUGGAAUAAACCAGGGAAACUUGGUCUAAAACCGGAUGUCGGCACCACACCUCCUGGUGUUUUGCUGAAAUAUUCAUAGUUCGGGGAUGGGCUCGCGUCCCAUUAGCUUGUUGGUAGGGUAACGGCUUACCAAGGCGAUGAUGGGUACGGGGCGUGAGAGCGUGACCCCGAUCACUGGGACUGAGACACUGCCCAGACGCCUACGGGCGGCUGCAGUCAAGAAUCUUCGGCAAUGGACGGAAGUCUGACCGAGCGACGCCGCGUGUAUGAUGAAGGUCUUCGGAUUGUAAAAUACUGUCGAUAGGGCGGAAAUUUAGGAGGGCUAUCCCUCUUAUUUGACCUAUCUUUUGAGGAAGGACGGGCUAAGUUCGUGCCAGCAGCCGCGGUAAGACGAACUGUUCUAACGUUAUUCGGAAUCACUGGGCUUAAAGGGCGCGUAGGCUGUUUGUUAAGCGGGGUCUGAAAUCCCUCGGCUCAACCGAGGAACUGGGCUUCGAACUGGCAGACUAGAGUGAAGUAGGGGUAAGCGGAACUUGCGGUGGAGCGGUGAAAUGCUUUGAUAUCGCAAGGAACACCGGCGGCGAAGGCGGCUUACUGGGCUUCAACUGACGCUUAAGCGCGAAAGCUAGGGUAGCGAACGGGAUUAGAUACCCCGGUAGUCCUAGCCGUAAACUCUGAGCGCUUGUUCGAGGGAGUUUUUUCUUUCUCGAGCGUAGCGAAAGUUUUAAGCGCUCCGCCUGGGGAGUAUGGUCGCAAGGCUGAAACUCAAAGGAAUUGACGGGGGCCCGCACAAGCGGAGGAGCAUGUGGUUUAAUUCGAUGAUACGCGAGGAACCUUACCUGGGCUAGAACGCAGAACGACGUUUCGGGAAACCGGAAUUCUCUUCGGAGCGAUCUGCGAGGUGCUGCAUGGUUGUCGUCAGCUCGUGCCGUGAGGUGUCGGGUUAAGUCCCAUAACGAGCGCAACCCCUAUUCUUAGUUGCCAUCAGGUAAUGCUGGGGACUCUAAGAAAACUGCCUACGCAAGUAGUGAGGAAGGUGGGGAUGACGUCAAAUCAGCACGGCCCUUAUGUCCAGGGCUACACACGUGCUACAAUGGCCGGUACAGAGGGCAGCCACCUGGUGACAGGGAGCAAAUCUCCAAAGCCGGUCUCAGUUCGGAUCGAAGUCUGCAACUCGACUCCGUGAAGCUGGAUUCGCUAGUAAUCGUAGAUCAGCCAUGCUACGGUGAAUACGUUCCCGGGCCUUGUACACACCGCCCGUCAAG